rnacentral:lncRNA from 1 species
GGGGAAGCCACUAGCUACAGAUGCUGGAGAAUUUGGGCUGGUUUCUUCUGCAUUUUAACAAUCCCUGGGGCUUUCUUUGGUUCUUUCUUUAUUUGAGUGAGGUUGAGAUCAUCUUUCUAUCAUGUCUCUGCAUUCAGUGAUAUCCAUAUUUAUCCAUGUUUGAAAAGACACAGACAUCAAUCUGGGUCUUACUCUGUCACGCAGGAUGGAGGCUGGAGUCCAAUGGCACAAUUGCAGCUCACUGCACCCUCAAACUCCUGGGCUCAAGGGGGCCUCCCAUCUUACCCUCCCGGAUAGCUGGGACUACAGGCGUGCACCAUCAUACCUGGCUAAUUUUUAGUAUUUUUUGUAGAGACGGGGUUUCUCCAUGUUGGCAAGGCUGGUCUUGAAAUCCUAGGUUCAAGCAAUUCUCCUGCCUCAGCCUCCCAAACUGUUGGGAUUACAGGUGUGAGCCACUGUGCCCAGCCUGCUGCUUUUUUAGAAAGAGGAGAGAAGGAUGGUCUAAAACUCCCAUUUUUUCUUGUCAUUCACCUGGCAACUCAGAGUCAGGAGGAAGAUGGGAGCUUUGAAGUGAGGUUCUGCUGCCCCACCCUGAGUUCCUCAGGGGUCACCUUCAUCUCACCCUUCCCAUUAGUUCCAAGUCCCCAGACUGAAGACAGCAGUUCCUGGAGUCAGUUCUCAAAAGAUGUCUUUACAGCAUCCAUGUCCCACAAGCCCAUAGCCUGGUGACCAUGGUCUUCAACCCACAAUUGGUGCUGUUGAUGCUGUCAAUGCAGAAUUGAAGACAGAGAACCAGAGAUUUUUAAGUCAGAAGCAUGCUUCAGAAGUUUUAGUUUGUAACUAUUGUUUAUUUCUGGAAAUCAUUUGGAAGAUAUUAUUUUACUUUUUGUCUCUCCCAAUUCCAAAUUGUUUGCAUUAUAAUUUUCUUUAAACCGGAAAAUAAAAUCAUAAUUUUAGAAAAGUG